GUCUAGUAAUUAUGGGAUAAACGUAUUCAAUAGAUAUUACUAAAAUCAUUUUAAUUUGUAUCACAUUUGAUACUUUCUCUAAUAACAUCGAAUAUUCAUUUAUACAAUAAUUAGUUUCGUAUAAUUGAAACAGAUCACAUAUACAAUGCUUAACUAUGAACUAUGUCAAGUUUUCAAACAAGCAAUAUAUAUUUCAAAUCAACAAGAGAAAAACCAAUCAAAUGUGGAACGCCAGAGGGUGCUAUAUAAUAUUUCACAGGCCCUAGCCUCAGGAUCUGACACCAGACGGUUUCGUUGGAAACGAUGCCGACAAACAGGCGGGUUUCCCUUGCGGGUAUUGAUGUGGGUUAAAGUUGUGAGUAAGGAUGGAGAGAUGCUCAAUAGACACAACGAUCAAC
rnacentral:lncRNA from 1 species